rnacentral:SRP_RNA from 1 species
GCCGGGCACGGUGGCACGUGCCUGUAGUCCCAGCUGCUGGGGAGGCUAAGGGGGGAGGAUCGCUUGAGUCCAGGAGUUCUGGGCUGCAGUGUGCUAUGCCGAUCGGGUGUCCGCACUAAGUUCAGCAUCAAUAUGGUGACCUCCCAGGAGUGGGGGAUCACCAGGUUGCCUAAGGAGGGCUGAAACGGCCCAGGUCAGAAACGGAGCAGGUCAAAACUCCUGUGCUGAUCAGAAUAAUCAAUAUAUACGAUUGCUACAUAGUAUAUUGUUCAAUCUGAGUAAAUUUUAUAAUU